UAGGGAAUAUUGGACAAUGGGCGCAAGCCUGAUCCAGCCAUCCCGCGUGAAGGAUGAAGGUCCUCUGGAUUGUAAACUUCUUUUCUUCGGGAAUAAAAACUGGGGUUCUCCUCAGCUUGAAGGUACCGAAGGAAUAAGCACCGGCUAACUCCGUGCCAGCAGCCGCGGUAAUACGGAGGGUGCAAGCGUUAUCCGGAUUCACUGGGUUUAAAGGGUGCGUAGGUGGCUUUGUAAGUCAGUGGUGAAAGCU
rnacentral:rRNA from 1 species